rnacentral:rRNA from 1 species
GAUGAACGCUGGCGGCGUGCCUAAUACAUGCAAGUCGAGCGAACGGACGAGAAGCUUGCUUCUCUGAUGUUAGCGGCGGACGGGUGAGUAACACGUGGAUAACCUACCUAUAAGACUGGGAUAACUUCGGGAAACCGGAGCUAAUACCGGAUAAUAUUUUGAACCGCAUGGUUCAAAAGUGAAAGACGGUCUUGCUGUCGCUUAUAGAUGGAUCCGCGCUCCAUUAGCUAGUUGGUAAGGUAACGGCUUACCAAGGCAACGAUGCAUAGCCGACCUGAGAGGGUGAUCGGCCACACUGGAACUGAGACACGGUCCAGACUCCUACGGGAGGCAGCAGUAGGGAAUCUUCCGCAAUGGGCGAAAGCCUGACGGAGCAACGCCGCGUGAGUGAUGAAGGUCUUCGGAUCGUAAAACUCUGUUAUUAGGGAAGAACAUAUGUGUAAGUAACUGUGCACAUCUUGACGGUACCUAAUCAGAAAGCCACGGCUAACUACGUG